ensembl:rRNA 5S_rRNA 5S ribosomal RNA
GUCUACGGCCAUACCACCCUGAACGCGCCCAAUCUCGUCUGAUCUCGGAAGCUAAGCAGGGUCGGGCCUGGUUAGUACUUGGAUGGGAGGUUACUGAUUUAAGAUUGCUCUAUUCU